AGUGAACGCUGGCGGUAGGCCUAACACAUGCCAGUCGAACGGCAGCACAGUAAGAGCUUGCUCUUACGGGUGGCGAGUGGCGGACGGGUGAGGAAUACAUCGGAAUCUACUUUUUCGUGGGGGAUAACGUAGGGAAACUUACGCUAAUACCGCAUACGACCUACGGGUGAAAGCAGGGGAUCUUCGGACCUUGCGCGAUUGAAUGAGCCGCUGUCGGAUUAGCUAGUUGGCGGGGUAAAGGCCCACCAAGGCGACGAUCCGUAGCUGGUCUGAGAGGAUGAUCAGCCACACGGGAACUGAGACACGGUCCAGACUCCUACGGGAGGCAGCAGUGGGGAAUAUUGGACAAUGGGCGCAAGCCUGAUCCAGCCAGACCGCGUGGGUGAAGAAGGCCUUCGGGUUGUAAAGCCCUUUUGUUGGGAAAGAAAAGCAGCAGGUUAAUACCCCGCGGUUCUGACGGUACCCAAAGAAUAAGCACCGGCUAACUUCGUG
rnacentral:rRNA from 1 species